AUUAGCCAUGGACGCAAAAAGUUGGGUGUCGGCAUCAUCAUCACCAUGGAGCUAUUAAAAUGGACAGUGAACUGCUGACAAGGAAUCCCUGCAUACAACAUGCAGCAGAUGGACUAGUUAUUACAACUCGCCCAACCAACCUCAGACAGAUUCAGCUAAAAUGUCUCCAUGGAAUAACAUUCAAGAUCACAGGCGGCAGUAAAUAAGGUUUGGGCAAGUGGUUAUGCCGUAAUUUUUAAAAGGUCUGGUGUGGUUUCAGUUUCCCAAGCGGGGCUAGUGGGUUCAUGUAAGAUCUUGUAACUGAGGGUCAAAGGUAGAGAAGAGGGGCAUAUCUAUGGAGACAAGAGGGCGUGUGAAAAGCACAAGACAUGUCAGACAGGCAGACUGGACAAA